GACGAACGCUGGCGGCGCGCCUAACACAUGCAAGUCGAACGAGCGAGCGAGAGCUUGCUUUCUCGAGCGAGUGGCGAACGGGUGAGUAACGCGUGAGGAACCUGCCUCAAAGAGGGGGACAACAGUUGGAAACGACUGCUAAUACCGCAUAAGCCCACGGCUCGGCAUCGAGCAGGGGGAAAAGGAGCAAUCCGCUUUGAGAUGGCCUCGCGUCCGAUUAGCUAGUUGGUGAGGUAACGGCACACCAAGGCGACGAUCGGUAGCCGGACUGAGAGGUUGAACGGCCACACUGGGACUGAGACACGGCCCAGACUCCUACGGGAGGCAGCAGUGGGGAAUAUUGCACAAUGGGGGAAACCCUGAUGCAGCGACGCCGCGUGGAGGAAGAAGGUCUUAGGAUUGUAAAGUCCUGUUGUUGGGGAAGAUAAUGACGGUACCCAGAAAGGAAGUGACGGCUAACUACGUG
rnacentral:rRNA from 1 species